rnacentral:misc_RNA from 1 species
GAACGCACCUUGCGCCCCUUGGCAUUCCGAGGGGCACACCCGUUUGAGUGUCGUGAAAUUCUCAAAAACCCUUUUCUUUUUUGAAAGGAUUUUUGGACUUGGAGGCUUUUUGCUGGUUUCACAUCGAAGCGAGCUCCUCCUAAAUGGAUUAGUGGGGUCUGCUUUGCCGAUCCUUGACGUGAUAAGAUGCUUCUACGUCUUGGGUUUGGCACUGUCCAUCGGGCACCUGCUUCUAACCGUCUCAUCGACAAUGAUGGCGCUCCGGUCACCACUGUUUCAUCGGUGGGAGGCUUGACCCACCAAAAAAAAACCUUGACCUCAAAUCGGGUGAGACUACCCGCUGAACUUAAG